rnacentral:misc_RNA from 1 species
GAUGAAGAACGCAGCGAAAUGCGAUAAGUAAUGUGAAUUGCAGAAUUCAGUGAAUCAUCGAAUCUUUGAACGCACCUUGCGCCCUUUGGCCAUUCCGAAGGGCAUGCCUGUUUGAGUAUCAUGAACACCUCAACUCUUCAUGGUUUUCCAUGAUGAGCUUGGACUUUGGGGGUCUUGCUGGCCUGUGGGUCGGCUCCUCUCAAAUGAAUCAGCUUGCCGGUUUUUGGUGGGCAUCACAGGUGUGAUAACUCUCUACGCUUGUGGUUUUCCACCAGGGUAACCUUCAGCAGUGGAGGUUCACUGGAGCUUACAAAUGUCUCUCCUCUGUGAGGACAGCCCUUUGAAUGUUUGAUCUCAAAUCAGGUAGGACUACCCGCUGAACUUAAGCAUAUCAAUAAGCGGAGGA